CGGACCACUUUCUCAGUUUUUCUUCAUAAAAGCUUUUCUCUCUUUUGCCGACCAUAAGCCUCUCUCUGUAUCUCCAUUUCUUGACCGUGACGAAAAGCUCCGUCGUACUUUUUCGUCCUCUUUUGACAACGAUCACAUGCUGAAAAAUUGCCCACCCCACUUGGCCGAGAACCCUUUGCUUUUUCUAUGCCCAUAUUUUCGUGUCUUCUUUGGCCGUGAAUUCCGGUCCCUGAAUGCGGAGAUUACCCCCUCCCCCUGUCAAGACGGAAAUUGCUCUCUUGACCGUGUCCUCAAGGUACUUGUGGUUAUUUGAGAUUCAUUUGAAACUGAACAUAAAGUUUGAAAAUUCUUUUUAGAUGAAAAAAAAUGGGGGCCCAUGUAGCAUUGGGAUUAAAGUUGAGGGUUCUUUGAGACAAAAAAGAAGUUCGGGAUAAAAUUAAAAUUGAACCUAAAAUUUGUG
rnacentral:lncRNA from 1 species